GAUGAACGCUGGCGGCGUGCUUAACACAUGCAAGUCGAACGGAAAGGCCCAAGCUUGCUUGGGUACUCGAGUGGCGAACGGGUGAGUAACACGUGGGUGAUCUGCCCUGCACUUUGGGAUAAGCUCAGGAAACUGGGUCUAAUACCGGAUAGGAGCACUUCUUGGAUGUUGUGGUGGAGAGUUUUUUCGGGGUGGGAUUGGAUCUCGGCCUUUCUGCUUGUUUGUGGGGUGAGGGCCUUCCAAGGCGUCUUCGGGUGGCCGGGCUGGGAGGGUGUACGGCCACAUUGGGGCUGGGAUACGGCCCAGACCUCUACGGGGGGGAGCAGGUGGGAAUAUUUCACAAUGGGCGGAAGCCCGAUUCCGCGACGCCGCGGGGGGGAUGACGGCCUUCGGGUUGUAAACUCCUUUCGCUAUGGACCAAGCGGUUUGUGACGGUACCUGGUGAAGAAGCACCGGCUAACUACGUG
rnacentral:rRNA from 1 species